GACCGCGACCCCAGGUCAGGCGGGACUACCCGCUAGAAUG
rnacentral:rRNA from 1 species